GGGGAUAUAGCUCAGUUGGUUAGAGCGCUAGCUUUGCAAGCUAGAAGUCAGGGGUUCGAAUCCCCUUAUCUCCA
rnacentral:tRNA from 1 species